ACCCACGAAUCGUGAUACCAUGACCUGAGUUGAAGUUAGACGCUCAACCGACUGAGCCACCCAGGCACCCCUAAAGGCAACUUGUUUUUAAGGAAAUACAUGGUUAAUAGGUCAGAAAUAAUGUGGAAAUUUAGGUAUGAAACAUAAGACGAUGCUGUUUAACUGAGAAUACUAGACAUUGUGCCAGGAACUGGGGAUAUCCUAGAGUAACAUGGAUGUGAUGUAUGACCUUUAACAUUUGUGAGCUAAUGCCAGAGAAAUUCAGUGUUAGACAGUACCUAAAAAUUUACAAAGGCCCUGAGCUGAGAAGGGGUUUAGUAACUUAGGGCAUUGCUUCUCUAACUUGAAUGUUCACAUGAACCAUCGGGGGACCUUUGUGUAGGGAAAGAG